CCUACGGGUGGCAGCAGUGGGGAAUAUUGGACAAUGGGGGCAACCCUGAUCCAGCCAUGCCGCGUGUGUGAAGAAGGCCCUCGGGUUGUAAAGCACUUUCAGUGAGGAAGAACGCCUGGUGGUUAAUACCCAUCAGGAAAGACAUCACUCACAGAAGAAGCACCGGCUAACUCCGUGCCAGCAGCCGCGGUAAUACGGAGGGUGCGAGCGUUAAUCGGAAUUACUGGGCGUAAAGCGCGCGUAGGUGGCUUGAUAAGCCGGUUGUGAAAGCCCGGGGCUCAACCUGGGAACGGCAUCCGGAACUGUCAAGCUAGAGUGCAGGAGAGGAAGGUAGAAUUCCCGGUGUAGCGGUGAAAUGCGUAGAGAUCGGGAGGAAUACCAGUGGCGAAGGCGGCCUUCUGGACUGACACUGACACUGAGGUGCGAAAGCGUGGGUAGCAAACAGGAUUAGAUACCCUGGUAGUC
rnacentral:rRNA from 1 species